rnacentral:siRNA from 1 species
UGUUAUUGUGGAUACUGUGUUGAA